UACGUAGGGGGCAAGCGUUGUCCGGAUUUAUUGGGCGUAAAGAGCUCGUAGGCGGUUUGUUGCGUCGGCUGUGAAAUCCCGAGGCUCAACCUCGGGUCUGCAGUCGAUACGAGCAAACUAGAGUGUUGCAGGGGAGACUGGAAUUCCUGGUGUAGCGGUGAAAUGCGCAGAUAUCAGGAGGAACACCGGUGGCGAAGGCGGAUCUCUGGGCCGUAACUGACGCUGAGGAGCGAAAGCAUGGGGAGCGAACAGG
rnacentral:rRNA from 1 species